GCAUUCAUGAUUGAAUGGUUACAGUGUCAAACUCAUAAUUAAGGAAUUCGUAGGUUCAAUUCCUUUUGGAUGCA